AUCUAGCUGACGAAUCCUAAAAUAGGAUGAAACGCUCGUCCUGGAU
rfam:Schistosoma mansoni strain Puerto Rico chromosome 3, complete genome